CGCAUCUGUGCAUGCAGCAUAUCAAUAAGCGGAGGAAAAGAAACUAACAAGGAUUCCCUUAGUAACGGCGAGUGAAGCGGGAAGAGCUCAAAUUUGAAAUCUUCAAGGUUUUACCUUGACGAAUUGUAGUUUAAAGAAGUGUUUUCUGUUGAAGUUUUGGCUAAAAGUUCUUUGGAAUAGGACAUCAUAGAGGGUGAGAAUCCCGUAUUUGACCAUUAUUUUCAGCUGUGUGAUACACUUUCAAAGAGUCGGAUUGUUUGGGAAUGCAGUCCAAAAUGGGUGGUAAAUUUCAUCUAAAGCUAAAUAUUGGCGAGAGACCGAUAGCGAACAAGUACCGUGAUGGGAAAGAUGAAAAGAACUUUGAAAAGAGAGUUAAACAGUACGUGAAAUUGUCAAAAGGGAAGCGUUUGACACCAGUGUUGUUUUCUCGAAAAUCAAUUAAAAAGAGUUAGAUUUUGUUGUGUAUUGACCUUAACAGCUUGCAUUUCAAUUUUCUUGCUUUUUUUAAUGCACUUUUCGUUUAACAAGUCAACAUCAGUUUCUUUUGUUGUAAAAAGGUCAUUGGAAGGUGGCUUUCUUUUCGGAGAAAGUGUUUAUAGCCUUUGACUCCUGCAAUCGGAGAGACUGAGGUCUGCAGCGUAGAUCCUUCGGGGUUAGAUACAUUUGUGCUAAGUUAUAGCUUUUUAUAGACAACUUGUUGACUAUGAUUAGUCUUGUAGCUUACUCGCUUAUGCUAUUUUACCUACGCUUAGGAUGUUGAUGUGAUACUGCGAGCA
rnacentral:rRNA from 1 species